GGGGAGCGAACGGGAUGAGGGGUGCUGAAGGGACCAGGCGGGAGCCCAGCACCAGGGCGGGGGUGCGGGACAAGAGAGGCAUGCACAUGAUUUUAAGAAAUUCAAAUCUAAAGGCAUCAAAAGAAAAGAAUUCCCUGGCCCAACUCAGCCCCCUCAGACUAGGUCUGCAGCUGACCAACUGCAGGGGUGACCUGGGGUCUGGAGGAGCACGGGGCCGGUGAGACCCUGAUUAGGCUCCACAGCUCCCCAUCCCUGCCACCCCCUCCUGCCCUCUGCUGUCCCCUGGCCUAGGGCCACUCUGGCUUCACAACCUCGCACAAGCCAAGUGCACUCCUGUCUGCCCUUGCGACCCCCAGGCCACCCUCCUCACCUCAUUUUCUGUGUCUCCUGACUUCCUGUCCACUUCCCUCUCCUCUGUCUUCACAGCGCACGACACCACACCUUCAUAGACCAGAACACACGCUUCUUAAACAGCGAGGCCUUUUUUGGUCCCUGCUUUCCCUCACUUCCUAAAAGAGUGCUUAAGUGCACGCUGAAAAAACUGGAUGACCAUUCUUUACCCUGACUGCUUGAGCCUCCUUUCAGAUCCACAAUCACCUGCUUGAGUUUCUCUUUUCAAGAUCUUCAUACUAGGUGUUUGCCAGUGGUCCAACACGGAGGUUAGGAAAGCAGUUUCCCCAUGGCCCACCCCCAGUGUGGCUGUCUCUGACUGCCAACCUUAGAGACUUCUGAAGGGAGUGCCAAUUGUGUCCUCCAGAGCCAACCCUCCUUACAAGGAGCCCAAGGCUGUGCCUGCAUCAGGAUAACUGAACAGCAGCCCCAGCUCCUGAGCUUGGAGCACUGGCUGGAGCCCCAGUAGCAGCUGCACUGCUGUCAGGCUGCUUCUCUGCCCAACCCAUCCCCUCACCUGUGCACUGAUUUUCCUUCUGAGAAUACAUGCAAUAAACUCCCACACACAGAUUGCAGCUCCAGAAGCUGUUUCCAGAGGGACCCAGCAUAAGACAGGAGGGGCCAGGUGAUCGGGGAGCUGCCUCUGGGGUGGGGUUUGAGAGCUGGCUGCCAAAUGGUGGCGCAGCAGCCCCUCCCGGCUGAGCAGUGCUGAGCUGGAGCAGAACUGGUAGGUAGGGGGCAGGAAACAGAGUGGGUGGCCGUGUGUCAGACACCGGAGCAGUUGGGAAAAGCACGAAUUACCUGGACUAUGGAAUCAGGUGGCUUUUGCUGAGGGCAAGGCAAAGAAAAGAUCACCAUUUAAAGCAAAGUGUGACAAUAAGGAGGGCUCCUUGGUACCUGCAGCUAGAGAGCCAACAACAUCUACAGGUCAGAGUGAGACCUAAUCCUGAGACAGCACUGCGCCAGAGCGGCUGGACGCUCAGGUAAAUCAGUGACCCUGUAGGAGCCAGGUGACAUAGCUCUCGUGACCUGAUAGGAGAAUCCAGAGAAAGGAGUAGUGACACCCUUGAAUAGUCUCUCUCCAGUGUUCAUUGUUUGGGUCACAUCGAGGAGAAAAGCGGAAGAGAGAGGCAUCUGCGCUGAGGUUUGCUGGACGCUCGAAGCCCGGCGGUUCUGUGCUGCUGUGGAAAGGGGGUCCCAGCUCAACCCAGUGGGGUCGGUGCCCCAGCCCAAGCCUGGCCUCUGCUCGCUGGUAGAAACCCUCAACGGUUUGUCUGCUGUUCGUUGAUAUCAAUACAUCUGUCAGUUUGAGUUAAUAGUUGAAUAUAACCUCAGACAUAUGGUGAAUGUACCGUUAGGUAGAUUUGUGACGCCUCGAUUGCUUAUUGUGAAGCAUGUUCACCCAAAAUGUCUAUGUUUUUAUCAUGAUAAAGUUUAACUUGUUGUUUUUGACCAGGAUUAGCCAAAUAUCAAGGAGCUUUUUGAAGACACUUCUGAAACAGCAAUUAACUGGGCUCCAUAUCCAGUCUUCUUAGCCGCGGCCAGAUGACAUGUGCUUUUCUUCUAAGAUCUCCAUCAAAGCAUCCCAGAGGAGUCAACAGGAGGGGCACCUGAUUCAUCAUUUGGGAUGGGGAUUUGCUGUCAGCGCACCCUCACAGCAGAACCACAACACAGGCUCCAGAGGAGAAAACCCAGGACUCAGGAAACUUGGCCUUUGACCACAGAUGCUUCCUGUGCAGGGAGCUGGGCUCUGGAGACCCAGUGAUGAAUGCAGUGACCGUCCCAAACUGCUCUUCAAAUCGUUCAAACCAAGCCAAACAGAUUUUAUCAAGGGCCAGUGGAGCUGCUGCUUUUGUGAAACAGUAGUUCUAGAGAAGCAACAUAAUAGUGAAGAAACUUGAAAGGGGCAAAAAUGAUACCAGACUGCCCACCACUAUAUUGUAUUUCCUUCAAGGUUUCCUUAGUGUUUACAGAUGGUCUUACACAGGGGCCCUAGGGUUUGUUUGAGUAUUUACCCUGUUUGGGAAUUCACUUUCUUAGCACGACCUUUACUGAGCACCUGGCCUGCAUCCACCGUGGGAAGAUGGGACUCUUGGGGCUGGUGCACCUCCGAAGAUGCCACGCUGAGGACCUCUGCGGCUCCCCCACCCGCAGUUCACCUUGGAAUGGACGAGGAGAAAGCCCUGGGAGUGGACUCGGUCUCGAAGGUCUAGACACAGUGGCAGCAUUUCUGAGGUGGUGCUGGGCCUGGGAGUCGAGGAGCCGCCUCGGGACACCCGGCCAGGCCAGCACCACCUCGCCCCUUCACGACGACUGCGUGGCUCUGACUCCUAGCAGCCCCAGGUGGCCCACAUCCUCUCCUGUGGAGAACCUGAGAUGCCCCAGGAAGGGCGUCGCCCCACCUCAUCCUGCGAGGACUGUCCUUGCUGUCAUGAGCGUGUCUCCCCCGCCGCCUUGCACACCUGAAGGCAGACCGGCCCGGGCGCUCGGAGCCCGGGAAAGGCCAGCCCUGCCGCCCCUCUCUUCCCGGGGGCCCCCUUUUCAGAAGCUUUCUGCCUCUCAAGCCCCCUUCCUCUGCACUUCCCUCAGGAAGCAGGAAACUGAGCGCUGUCUCCCCUUGGAGCGUUUGGCUGUGUCAACGGCCGUGCGGCCCCUGACGGCCAUUCGCAGACCGUCAUCACCCAGAAAGGGGUCCCAGAGGGGUUCAAACUUCUUGUUGAAGGACCCACAAAAUAACUGCACUUCAGGUCAUGACCCAAGUCCCUUACACAAACACCAGCCCUGGCUAGACCCAGCGUGUUCUAAAACGGCGCUGGCUGUUCUAGCUUCAUUUGCAAUUUUGAGACUGAUUUCAGGACCCUCAGCAGCGACCGACCGGGCCCCGGGGGUCCAGGAGGCACCGGCUCGUGGGAUCACACUGUGCUUUCAGGAGUUUUGCCCACUGGUAGUUAAACAGAAGCUUUAUUAAAAAUUUAAUGGCGUAAGCUUACAAAAUGUGUGAGACUGUGCAAACCCUGCUCUUGGAGCUAGCACUGCCUCCCGCGGUGGAGACGCUGGAUUUGAGGGGCCCCUUUCACUGUGCAUCUUGGACGUGCUGUUCCUCGCAUGCAGGGUGACGGUUUUGUUCCAGGAGGUGAGUCUGCUCAGUUUUCACUUCCUUCGUGGCUCUGUCUUCUGCUCCUUCUGCUGUGUUUUCCUUGCUCCUGUCCCUUCAUUUUAUGUUUCAUUCUCGCUCUGUCUUUGUUGAGACUCGGCUCUGGUUGCCUUCUGUUCGUACCUCACCUCCAGCGUGGCGAGUCCUCCCGGGACCAGCUGUUUACGGGAGGCUCCGUCAGGGGCCAGGGUCUGCCUCGGGGAGGGGGUUCUGUCGGGGCCAGGGUCUGCCAGGCAUAGCUCCGGAGGCAGGGCUGCACGUGGGAGACCACCUCGGCCCCAGGCGGCAUGAGGACCUGCACAGUGCGAGGUCCUGUUUGGUGGCUCCAUCCAUUCUUUUCCAUGCCAGCUGAGGCCGGGACCCACACUCUGCUCUCCCCCUGGGUGUGACACAGUCUGAAGCUUUGUGACCUGCAGCCUCUCAGGGUGUCCCCCCCCAGCUCUCCUGUCCACGUGGUCUCCUAGCUUUGCUGGGGGUGGAGUGUGUUUCUACUCCUUUUCUUUGUUGGUCUUGGUUCCCAGGAGAGGAGCGAGUAUGGUCUCCACUCUGCGUUUCACCCCUGAAGACUCGACUGCCCCAGUGUCCUCUGAACCCUUGCUGACGGGUCUGAGGCCGGCCUGGUUCCUCAUCUGAUGUCCUGAAGUUCCCUCUGGCCUCGUCCGGACUUCCUUAGCCCUCAGAGGAUCCUAGUGGUGAGACGUCUUACUCCUGAGCUGGUGACCUCUCCUCAGGUCCAGCUCAUCUCUGUCCGAAUGCUCUGUGGUCUGAGUAAAAGUCUCACAGCUUCGUCAACAUGCCAGGUCCUAACACUCACAUACAAAGAAGGAAAAGCAGCACCCUACGGACCAUGCACUCUACUCACCUGCAUGUUUCACCCCAGAGGCUGCGCUGACUUGGGAAGAGUUGUGCUGACUCACUGUCCAAGUCACUGGUAUCUUUUCAAAUUAGCGCCACAGCAAACUGUUACCCCAUGCUCACGGCCAAAAUAUCACGUCACAUGUAUUAGCUUUUGACCUUAACGUUCAAGCUACCAGCCAUGGCCUACCAGGGUUUUCAGUUUCUUCAAGUUCCAGGACACUUCUUCAAGCGAGAGCACAACAUAUUAAACACGCCCAGGAGGAGUUGCCCUGGUUGAACACAGGAGGCGCUGGGGUUCCGCCUUUGGCGUCCCCCACUCUGGUGGCUCAACGACCACCCUCAGGAGACAUCCGGCAGAGAGAACAUGUGAACAGGAAGCAUUGUGCAGAGAAGAAAAAGAUACAGACAGAGGCAGACGCUGAAACUGACAUGAUUUGGCAUGGGGGGUGGUGGUGGGGGUCAUUGAUCAGAAAGAAAAGAGGGUAAAAUUUCAAAGAGAAAUGACUAGUGUCUUCCCAGGGCCUUGGGCUGGGUCCUGCGGGUGCAGGUGGGGCCUCUGGACCUCAGCCCUUUAGCUUCAGGGGAAAUCUGCGUUUUCCCUGCAGAGGGGCCAGUGGUCCAGGAACAGGUCGGGAAGAAGGAAGGCACGGCCAGGGCUGGGAGGGGUGUGGUGGUGAGCAUGUAGGAUUUGGGAAGUCCUCAGGAACUGGAUUGAAAGGGUCCUGGGAGCUCAUGGAGCAGGACAAACAGCUCGUAGCAGCUGGUGGACCAGGGCAGGAGGGCAGGACACCACAGCCCCAGCGGCAGGUCUCUCCCCACCUCCCCAGACCACUGUUAGCCCUGCUAAGGAGCAGAACCUUCGCUGACCUCAUCACCCCAAGGAAAGCAGCAGCUGGUCUCCAACUGAAGACCUUCAGACCUUCUGUCACGCCCUUGGCACCGAGACAUCUGCUGUGAUGUCUGUGGAAGAAGGCGAAUCGUUGCCGUGAGACACCUCGGGUGCUUCACCCAGGCACGACAGACACUGAGGUGCCGGCAGAGGGAAACGUUCCCGGACCAAGAGUCAGACCCUGGGCCCAGCUCUGUCCCCUCCCCAGCCUGGCCACCGUGAAGGCUGAACCAGCUGUUGUCACUGCUUCCUGCCUCAGUGCCAUUUGACAGCAAGCACUUCCGGUUUCAGAAACUAAGCGGCUCAGGUGCCUCUGGCCCGAGGAUAAGAGACUACUUUCUGACAUUUAAACUCAGCUUUGUCCUGGAAAGAACAAGCUUUAGGAACACAUGGACUAAAGGGGGAGGCGCAGCUCCGUGGCGGAGCGUGUGGCUGGCGUGCACGAGGUCCUGGGUUCAGCCCCAGCACCUCCAGUAAAAUAGACAAAUGAAUGAACCUUAUUACUCCCCUCUCCGAGUAAAUUUUAAAAAUACAUUAAAUAAGCAAAUAAUUUUUUAAAAAGACACAUGGACUAACUAUUGGUGGAAGGAUGAGUAGCAGGGCAGAGUGUAAAAGGGGGGAGA